UUUNCGCAANGGGNGAAAGCCNGNCGGNACCAGNCCGCGUGGGGGAAGAAGGCUCUUGGGUUGUAAACCCCUUUUCUCUGGGAAGAANGCAANGACGGUACCAGAGGAAUCACCAUCGGCUAACUCCGUGCCAGCCGCCGCGGUAAGACGGAGGAUGCAAGCGUUAUCCGGAAUGAUUGGGCGUAAAGCGUCCGCAGGUGGCAGUUCAAGUCUGCUGUCAAAGACCGGGGCUCAACCUCGGAAAGGCAGUGGAAACUGAACAGCUAGAGUAUGGUAGGGGGCAAAGGGAAUUCCUGGUGUAGCGGUGAAAUGCGUAGAGAUCAAGAAGAACAUCGGUGGCGAAGGCGCUUUGCUGGACCAUAACUGACACUCAGGGACGAAAGCUAGGGGAGCGAAUGGNAUUANAUUCCCCCNUANUCCUANCCNUAAACNAUGGAUACUAGGUGUUGUCUGUAUCGACCCGGACNGUGCCGUAGCUAACNCGUUAAAUAUCCCNCCNGGGGAGUAC
rnacentral:rRNA from 1 species